CGGAAUUACCUAUGGUAAUUGGUAGAGGAGCAUUCUGUAAGGAUGAAGCACAAUUGAAAGAGAGUGUGGACGAAACAGAAGAGAGAAUGCCGGAAUGAGUAGCGAGAUAUAUGUGAGAAUCAUAUAGGUCGAAUGUCUAAGGUUUCCUGGGUAAAGCUGAUCUGCUCAGGGUAAGUCGGGACCUAAGGUGAGGGCGAGAGCCGUAAUCGAUGGACAACAGGUAGAAAUUCCUGUACUACGUAUAAUCAGAACUGUGGGGACGCAGGAGGAUAGGAAAACCGGAGAAUGGAAAAAUCCGGCUAAGUACAAAGGUGUGAGUGAUAGGCAAAUCCGUCACUAUUAGCUGAAGUACGAAUGGGAGCGAAGAAAAGUAGCGAAGUUUCUGAAUCCACACUGUCAAGAAAAGCCGCUAUUGCGUUAUACGUACCCGUACCGCAAACCGACACAGGUAGACGAGGAGAAAAUCCACAGACCGACGGGAGAAGUGUUGUUAAGGAACUCGGCAAAAUGACCCCGUAACUUAGGGAUAAGGGGAGCCAACGCAAGUUGGUCACAGAAAAGAGGCUCAAGCGACUGUUUAGCAAAAACAUAGGUCUAUGCGAAACCGUAAGGUGAUGUAUAUGGGCUGACACCUGCCCGGUGCUGGAAGGUCAAAAGGAGAGGUUAGCGCAAGCGAAGCCUUGAAUUCAAGCCCCAGUAAACGGCGGCCGUAACUAUAACGGUCCUAAGGUAGCGAAAUUCCUUGUCAGGUAAGUUCUGACCCGCACGAAAGGUGUAACGAUUUGAGCACUGUCUCGACAACACGCCCGGUGAAAUUGAAGAACCAGUGAAGAUACUGGUUACCCGCAACAGGACGGAAAGACCCCAUGGAGCUUUACUGCAGCUUAAUAUUGGGAUUCGGUAUUGUAUGUACAGGAUAGGAGGGAGACUAAGAAGCUAGCACGCCAGUGUUGGUGGAGUCGAUGGUGGGAUACCUCUCUUAUAAUACUGAAUUUCUAACCUACUUCCGUGAUCCGGAAGAGGGACAUUGUUAGGCGGGCAGUUUGACUGGGGCGGUCGCCUCCGAAAGAGUAACGGAGGCGCUCAAAGGUCUUCUCAGAAUGAUUGGAAACCAUUCAAAGAGUGUAAAGGCAAAAGAAGGCUUGACUGCGAGAGUGACAACUCGAGCAGGUACGAAAGUAGGACUUAGUGAUCCGGUGGUAACAAGUGGGAGUGCCAUCGCUUAACGGAUAAAAGCUACCCUGGGGAUAACAGGCUUAUCUCCCCCAAGAGUUCACAUCGACGGGGAGGUUUGGCACCUCGAUGUCGGCUCAUCGCAUCCUGGGGCUGAAGUAGGUCCCAAGGGUUGGGCUGUUCGCCCAUUAAAGCGGUACGCGAGCUGGGUUCAGAACGUCGUGAGACAGUUCGGUCCCUAUCCGUUGUGGGCGUAGGAAAUUUGAUAGGAGCUGUCCUUAGUACGAGAGGACCGGGAUGGACGAACCUCUGGUGAAUCUGUUGGUAACCAAUGCCACAGCAGAAUAGCCAAGUUUGGAACGGAUAAACGCUGAAGGCAUCUAAGCGUGAAGCCAACCUAAAGACUAGAUUUCCCAUGCGAAAGCAGUAAGACUCCUUGUAGACGACAAGGUUGAUAGGCCAGAGAUGUAAGCACAGUAAUGUGUUCAGUUGACUGGUACUAAUAAGUCGAGGGCUUGACCAA
rnacentral:rRNA from 1 species